UUGUAUUUGUGGGAUACAACUGGAUUUCACUCCCUUCUUCUUCAUCAGUCCUACUUCUCUCUCACUCUAGCAUCGUUCCUUCUGUCCUCACUUAUGUUCUUGCCAUUUUUGUUCCUUCUCUCCUCACUUACGUUCUUGCCAUUUUUGUUCCAUUGCUCUCUCUCUCUCUCUCUCUCUCUUUCUCUCUCUCCCCGUUUUGGGUUUGCUUUCUUUGGACCAUUUACAUUCAACUUCUCCACAUUGCAUUUACCUGUUGCAGGUGACAAAACAAUUGCCAAAAAAAUAAAAAAUAAAAAAGAGAUACAAGGAAGAAGCAGGCGAGGUUUCAUAUCUCAAAAA